CGUGCAUGCCAUUCAAGGAGCUUGGAUUGUUGGAGCGUUUCUAGGUGUUUUUUAUCUUUAUGUCAAUGUUUAAAUUUAUUUAUCUUUGUUUAUUUACGAACAUGAGGAACUAAUUCCUUUAUAGUUAGAGGGGAAUUCAAAGCCAUGAUCAUAUGUUUUAUAUGACUUGAUUUCCUCCAGUUAUGAUUUCAUAAAUUGUGAAUGUGGUUUACUUAUCUAUUUGAUUGAUAACAUGUUUAUGUAUGUUGAUUGAGGGUCGACACUUAGUUUGCAUGCAUGAAUUUGAUGCUAGAGUAUAAGGGAAUUUCACCUAAUCGUUAUUAACUUAUAUUCAUAAGUAGUAAAAGUCGCUAGUCACGAUUGUGUUAAGUAAAUCCUUGGCAAGAGUAACAUGCGUAUUCCAUAGUUAUGAAUGCCUCGUCAAUGCUUAUGAUUUCCAUUAAACUUAAUGAUCUUUGAUAUGUGUCUCUAUCAAGCGUAUUCCAUAGUUAGGGUCCUUGAUAAGAAUAAUUUGGUUGUAAUGCGUAUUCCAUUCAAUUCAAUGAAUCUAGGGAAAUUUGAGAAUUAAUUGGUGCAAUCUAGUUAAUUUGGGGCAUUGUCAUUCAUGGUUUGUUGAAAGAGUAACUGGAAAUCGAGUCGUAAGCAUAUGUUUCAUGUGUGGAGAAGGAACCCUCUAACUAGCCUUUUACCAUUCUAUUUCAUCAAUUUCGUGAGUCUUUAAGUUUGUUUUCAAAGUUUAUGUUUUAACUUUCAAUUUCGUCAAAACCAAUCCCCUUGCUUUUAAGUCUUGUUUUUAGAGUCAAAACCUGUUUUCUUUUGGUCUUUUGAGUCUUUUAAGUUCUAUUUUCGUCCAAAUCACUUAUUAGGUCUAGAAUUGAGUCUUUUUUAUUGUUUCUUGCUGUUUUGAGUGUUUUGAGUUAGUUUUGAGUCUUAUUUGUGUUGAUUAGCACCCCUAGUUAAUCCCCGGUCUAGAACGAUCCCUACUUGCUUAAAUACUACAAUUGUCAUCAAUAGGGUUUAAUUUGUGUGUCAAGUUAAUUUUCACAUCAGCCAAAUGCACCCUCUAGCGCAUGGCAGAGUUUGACAGAAGCCAGGAAUAUUCCGUCAAAGUUGACGGAAUAUUUCGUUAAAUAGUAACGAAACUUAACGGUGUUACCUAACACCGUUAGAAUAUUCUAUCAACUUUGAUGGAAUAUUCUUCGUCUUCUCUAGUGAGUCUCACUGUCCACCGUCGCCGGCAUCAAAGUCUGGUUCGUUGGUUUCUGGGAAAAAAUUCAAAACCUCAUAACUUGUUUAUUUCUCAACCAUUUUCAAUGAAAUUUAUAUGGAAAUGAAGCUGGAGGAGAGGAGAACAAGUUUAUACCUUUUAAAAGUCUAAAAGGUGGACAAAAAUGGCCUGAAAAAGCCUCAAAAGGUUCGGCCUAUUUUUCGACUCCUUGAAAAUGUGCGUUCUCGCGUCCACUCAACUCUAAACUUAGUCUAGGGACUCUAGGGAGUUGACUAGAUGCUUCCAUAACCUUCAAAAACUUGUCAUUCGGUCGGAUCACAUCGGAGCAAACUCAUUUGAGUUGACAAGUCAAAACUCAUCCAUUUGAGAAUCGGUUUGUACAGUUGGGUUCGUGGAUUCGAGAGGAACACGAUGAUGGGGUUUUUAAGUUCGAUAUGUGAGUGUUUAAUGAAGGUCCUUGUAGUUGCAAAAAAGAGAGAGUGACGGGUAAGGAGAGAGAAAGGGAGAAGAUGAGAGAGAAAGAGAAAGGUUUUCUGAUUGGUUGAGAAGGAUAGAGAGAGAUCUGUUUGAUUGGUGGAGAGAAGUGAGGAUGAGAUUUGAUUGGUGGGUGAAACAAGUCACAGAUAGGUUUUUAAAAGAAGAAAAUGAAAGGUUUGGUACACAUUUCAUAUUACACGAAAUAUGUCCCCUUAUCAAAAACAAUGUUUCUAACAUUGGAUAAUUUACACACACGUGCACAAACAUACCCGCUGUUUACAUACUUUAAUGUAACGUAACUUUUUCGUUACCACUCGAAUUUGGGUCUAAUUCAUGCUCAUGAGAUCAUAACAACAAGUACUAUUUAAUUACGAUAAUGAGAAAAAUAAUUAAAAACUGAAUAACCACGUCCACGUCACUUUGCCAACAAGGACAUAAAUGUCAAUUUACACACUUGGGGAGAAAUUACAUGGAAAAUUAAGGACGGGUCGUCACAUAUUCCACCCUAUUUUCUUCAAUGGCUUCAUUCAUAAUCAUUGUCAUCUCAAAUAUCCUUAAAACUCAACGACGUUCUUCCGGAAAGUGGGGAAGAUAAGGUAUCUUAAAUGGUAAUUUAGUAACAUUCGUACAACGAGGAGCAUUCCAAUGCUCGUAAUCAGGUUGGAUAGACCUGAAGUCGUUGCUAGAGAUGUGAUUUAGGUAUAAAGUUAGUGUGUGUAUUAUCCCAUUCAUCUAGACAACUAACUUUCCCACACUCGUACCUAAUCACGUGUUUAAUUGAAUUCGGUCACAUGUAUAUAAGAAACAUGAUUCAAUUAACUUAUAUUCGAGGAAAAUAUUGAUAACAUAUUGCAUAACUAAAACAAAAACCAAAAUUGAAUCCAAGAACAUAUAAAAAAUGUUCCCAAAGUUACCAAGGGGAUUCGGCCAACAAGGCCAUUCAUGUCAAAAUUUGCUCUUACAAUGGUGUUCGGUGGAGAAAAAUUAGUCUCAUAUAUUGACUACUAGAAUGGUACUUCUCAACAAUAUUGGUAGGGGCACGAAUAGGUGCAAAACCAAUGAUCUCUUCUAUCAAGAUGAAAGUAGAUUAUGUAGGGUUGAGGUUUGGGAACAAUAUCCCUUAUUCUUGAAAUUUUAGGUCUUAGGUGCUAAGAAUCACGCUUUGGGCUUGAUGCCACAUCUCGAUAAGCCCUGACUCUACCGUACGCUGUAAAAACAAAUUCAAAAGUGGGUGGGAAAGACAAACGUGUUCGAAAGGUUCUAGCCAAAGCUGUAGGGGUUUGUUCGGUACGCUUCUACCGAAGUAGAGCAUACAUUUCGGUGGACCUCAACCAAAACUGGGUAUUACAUUCGGUAGGCUUUGACCGAACUGGAUUAAGCCAUUCACCAAACUCCAGCUAAAGUUGGGUAUAUACCUUUCUCUCACAUUUGUGGUAGUAAUCAAAUCCGAGAAUUUGGUAAACUUCCGCUUUCUAUAUUGUUGCUUCAGGAGCGAGUUAGAAACAUGGAAGGAUGGGAAAAGUAUUCUUUAGUCAAGAUUCGAUUGGACUUUAUAAACUUCAUAAUCAUACUCAUUCAUGGACGUAAUCAUGGUGUGCUUCAGGCAAUAUUUUUCAUGAUUAGAUAGUCUGUAGGAGCGAGCCAAAGAGCCAUGGAGUCCUCAUUGGGGAGGUACUUCCGUUUGUAAUGCUUCGAGCAUAAGUCUUCG
rnacentral:lncRNA from 1 species